rnacentral:rRNA from 1 species
AUUGAACGCUGGCGGAAUGCUUUACACAUGCAAGUCGAACGGCAGCACGGACUUCGGUCUGGUGGCGAGUGGCGAACGGGUGAGUAAUGUAUCGGAACGUGCCCAGUCGUGGGGGAUAACGUAGUGAAAAUUACGCUAAUACCGCAUACGAUCUAUGGAUGAAAGCGGGGGAUCGCAAGACCUCGCGCGAUUGGAGCGGCCGAUAUCAGAUUAGGUAGUUGGUGGGGUAAAGGCCCACCAAGCCAACGAUCUGUAGCUGGUCUGAGAGGACGACCAGCCACACAGGAACGGAGACACGGUCCAGACUCCUACGGGAGGGAGCAGUGGGGAAUUAUGGACAAUGGGCGAAAGCCUGAUCCAGCCAUUCCGCGUGCAGGAUGAAGGCCCUCGGGUUGUAAACUGCUUUUGUACAGAACGAAAAGGUUUCUACUAAUACUAGGAGCUCAUGACGGUACUGUAAGAAUAAGCACCGGCUAACUACGUGCCAGCCGCCGCGGUAA